AUGGCCAGGACUCUGCUGCUCCUCACCUUUCUGGCCUAUUGUACAGGUACUUGGGCCCAGUUUGUGCUGAAUCAGAUUCCCUCUGUGUCUGGGUCUCCAGGGGAGAAGGUCACCAUUUCUUGUACCCGCAGCAGUGGAAACAUUGGGUCUAACUAUGUGCACUGGUACCAGCAGCGGCCUGGGAGUUCCCCCACAAAAUUGAUCUAUGCAGAUAAUCAAAGACCCUCUGGAGUUCCCGAUAGGUUUUCUGGGUCCAUCGAGAGUUCCUCCAAUGCUACCUACCUGACCAUCUCUGGGGUGCAACCUGAGGAUGAGGCUGACUAUUUUUGUCAGUCUAAUUAUGGUAACAAUUAA